rnacentral:rRNA from 1 species
UAGAGAUAGCUGGUUAUUCAGGAAAAGGAUACAGUCCAACUUUAAAUCUACACAUAGCACCUAAUACCACCACAGAUUUAAAUUUUAUUCAAAUAAGGCACAGCUUAUUUGAAACAGGAUACAGCCUAAAACAUAGGGUAAUGUCCCCAACAACAUGACCAAGUAGGCCUAGAAGCAGCCACCUUUUAGAAGGCGUUACAGCCUCACCAUAACCUAACCCCAAUCCCAACCAAGACCCAAAACCCAUCUCCCCUACUGAAUGACUCCAUAUUAAUAUGGAAAACCUUAUGUUAGAACUAGUAACAAGAACAGCCACUCUCCCACAAAGUAAGUGUAACCCGGAUUGAACCUAUCGCCGGCAUCUAUCGCUAAUGAAAUUACAAUAAUAACCCUACAAGAAAACCUUAUCCAUCACAGCGUUAACCUUACACUAGAACUUCCCCGGAAAGAUUAAAAGAGUAAGGAAGGAACUCGGCAAACACCAACCCCGCCUGUUUACCAA